AACGAACGCUGGCGGCAGGCUUAACACAUGCAAGUCGAGCGCCCCGCAAGGGGAGCGGCAGACGGGUGAGUAACGCGUGGGAAUCUACCCAUCUCUACGGAAUAACGCAUGGAAACGUGUGCUAAUACCGUACACGUCCUUCGGGAGAAAGAUUUAUCGGAGAUGGAUGAGCCCGCGUUGGAUUAGCUAGUUGGUGGGGUAAAGGCCUACCAAGGCGACGAUCCAUAGCUGGUCUGAGAGGAUGAUCAGCCACACUGGGACUGAGACAUGGCCCAGACUCCUACGGGAGGCAGCAGUGGGGAAUAUUGGACAAUGGGCGCAAGCCUGAUCCAGCCAUGCCGCGUGAGUGAUGAAGGCCCUGGGGUUGUAAAGCUCUUUCACCGGUGAAGAUAAUGACGGUAACCGGAGAAGAAGCCCCGGCUAACUUCGUGCCAGCCGCCGCAGUAACAC
rnacentral:rRNA from 1 species